rnacentral:tRNA from 1 species
GCCGCGGUAACUCAAUGGUGAGAGCAUCGCACGCGCAAUGCGAUGACGUGGGUUCAUUUCCCACCUGCGGCC